CGCUGGGUAGAGCAGUUGGCAGCUCGUCGGGCUCAUAACCCGGAGGCCGUAGGUUCGAGUCCUACCCCAGCUA
rnacentral:tRNA from 2 species